UCUGCUUUUUCCCCAUCUUUGUGGUUUUAUCUACCUUUGGUCUUUGAUGAUGGUGACGUACAUAUGGGGUUUUGAUGUGGUUGUCCUUUCUGUUUGUUAGUUUUCCUUCUAACAGUCAGGACCCUCAGCUGCAGGUCUGUUGGAGUUUCCUAGAGGUCCACUCCAGACCCUGUUUGCCUGGGUAUCAGCAGCGGAGGCUACAGAACAAUGAAUAUUGGUGAACAGUGAAUAUUGGUAAACAGCAAAUGUUGCUGCCUGUUCAUUCCUCUGGAAGUUUUGUGUCAGAGGAGUAUGCGACCAUGUGAGGUGUCAGUCUGCCCCUACUUGGGGGUGCUUCCCAUUUAGGCUACUCGAGGGUCAGGGACCCACAUGAGGAGGCAGUCUGUCCGUUCUCAGAUCUCCAGCUGUGUGCUGGGAGAACCACUACUGUCUUCCAAGCUGCCACCCAGUUCGAGCUUCCCGGCCUCUUUAUUUACCUACUCAAGCCUCAGCAAUGUUGGGCACCCCUCCCCCAGCUUCGCUGCCACCUUGCAGUUUGAUCUCAGACUGUUGUGCUAGCUAUGAGCGAGGCUCCAUGGGCAUAGGAGCCUCUGAGCCAGGAGCGGGAGAUAAUCUCCUGGUGUGCCAUUUGUUAAGACCGUCAGAAAAGCACAGUAUUAUGGUGGGAGUGACCCGAUUUUCCAGGUGCCGUCUGUCACCCCUUUCCUUGGCUAGGAAAGGGAAUUCCCUGACCCCUUGUGCUUCCAGGGUGAGGUGAUGCCUCUCCCUGCUUCUGCUCACGCUCGGUGCACUGCAUCCAUUGUCCUGCACCCACUGUCCGACAAUCCCCAGUGAGAUGAACCCAGUACCUCAGUUGGAAAUGCAGAAGUCAUCCGUCUUCUGCGUCACUCACGCUGGGAGCUGUAGACUGGAGCUGUUCCUAUUUGGCCAUCUUGGAACCGCCCC
rnacentral:lncRNA from 1 species